UACGAAGGGGGCUAGCGUUGUUCGGAAUUACUGGGCGUAAAGCGCACGUAGGCGGAUUUGUUAGUCAGGGGUGAAAUCCCGGAGCUCAACUCCGGAACUGCCCUUGAAACUGCAGUGCUAGAAUCUUGGAGAGGCGAGUGGAAUUCCGAGUGUAGAGGUGAAAUUCGUAGAUAUUCGGAAGAACACCAGUGGCGAAGGCGACUCGCUGGACAAGUAUUGACGCUGAGGUGCGAAAGCGUGGGGAGCAAACAGG
rnacentral:rRNA from 1 species